CCGACUUUGUGGCUGUGUUAUCUAGUGGAAACCAGCCACUAGCUACAUAGCAACUCUGUGGACAGAUGUUGGAGAUUCACUGAGUUGUACAGGCAGCAGCUGAAGUAGGAUUAGCCCAGUCUGGAGUGGAAUCAACAGCCAGCCAGCCUGCCAGCCAGCCAGCCAGCCAGCCAGCCAGCCAGCCAGCCAGCCAGCCCUGCCUGAGGUGGGAGAGGGGAGAGCAGCAGGAGGACUACAACACUAGCUCAGCUCCAACGUGGUCGUAUUGGGGACUCUGAAUCUCUGGACAGUUGUAUCCAGAGCACCCUCUCAGCCCUCUACCCUCCGUUUGAUGCCACAGCUUCCACAGUGCUGUGUCAGGUAUUUGAUGUGGUGGAGACCAGCUACAGAGGAGACGGAUUAAGAUACCUUAUAGACUUCCUGGUCCCCGCCAAACACAUCCUGCAGACCAUCCAGCAACAU